AUACAUUUAAAGAGUACAGUUUAAAUUGUAUGACAGUCUUAAUGGUAAGGCCCAAAGGUCUUGACUUCUGUUUUUGCCAACAUAACAAUAACAUCACUUCAGAAAAGUUCAUAAAGUUGAAUACCAUCCCUCCAUUCACCAUUUUAUUUCACUUAGAAAAGCACAGUUCCCCCUCCGGCUACACAAGAGUCCAUCACAGACAUAAUGAAAUUCACACCCUCUAAAGCCCUUCCUUCCUGGUACAACUACAAAAAACUCACCUUUCCAUUUCCACAGCGAACCAACGUGCCCAUAAACGCAACAUUUUUUUUGCUCCGUAAGGCUACUCUGAGUUGAUAUAUUAUUGUAAUAACAUUUGAUAUUGUCCUUAUGUCUGCUCAUUUAAAUAGUGGUAUAGCAUUGUAUUAAAAAAUAACAUUUUCCUUUUUA